rnacentral:rRNA from 1 species
AUGGUCAGCCACAACCAGAACGCUUUCAUUCCGGGACGGAGCCUGCACGACAACUUUGUCCUCGUCCGGCAAUCGAUGAAGCUGCUGCACCAACUUGGGGCUCCGAGAGCGAUGCUCAAGCUCGACCUAACGCGCGCCUUCGACUCCCUAUCAUGGCCCUUCCUUUUUGAGGCUCUUGGCCAAUACGGAUUCGGAUCGCGCUUCAGGGAGUGGCUCGCGAUCUUGCUAUCGUCUUCGAGCACCCGGAUCAUGAUCAAUGGUGAGCCGGGACCGCCAGUGUGGCAUCGCUGCAGGCUGCGCCAGGGAGACCCCGUUUCUCCACAGCUCUUCGUGCUCGUCGUGGACAUCCUUGGACGUCUAAUCAGCCGCGCCCACGACGCCGGCAUACUGCAGCGGCUGCACCCCCGACGAGACAUUCCGGCCAUAUCCUUGUACGCCGACGGCGUGAUGCUAUUCUGCCACGCCACGCAAGACGACGUGGAGGCCGUCCGCGCGAUCCUGGCCGCAUUCAGUGAAGCUAGCGGCCUCCGAGUCAACUAUGCCAAAAGCUCCGCCACCGUUUUCAAUGGCGACCCCGAGGCGGAUGCAGCAAUUGAUCAGGUGGGAUGCGCGAAAGCGGAGCUACCCAUUACUUAUGUUGGCAUCCCUCUCACGCUACGCCGCCCCUCAGCUGCCCAACUACAACCCCUCGUCGACUCGGUGGCCGCUCGGCUCCCCACAUGGAAAGCAUGGCUCAUGAACAAAAUCGGGCGGCUGGCUUUGGUCAAAUCGGUGCUCGCCGCGAUCCCGAUACAUCAGCUGCUCGCGUUCGCGCCACCCAAGAAGACCUUGAGACAGCUCGAAAAGAUCCAGCGCGGCUUCUUGUGGGCUGGGCGCGCUGCUGCUAAUGGCGGACACUGCCACGUCAACUGGCGACGUGUGUGCCGCCCGCUCGAGUACGGCGGGCUCGGGGUCCAGGACCUGGAGCGUGCCGGUCUAGCGCUGCGCCUGCGCUGGAUGUGGUUCUCCCACACGGACGACGACCGCGCAUGGCGAGGCCUCGACCUCCAGUUUUCCCGCGAGGAGCACGCGUUGUUCUUCGCAUCGACGACCAUGGAGCAUGGCGAUGGACAGACGACAUUGUUCUGGGAUGACCAAUGGCUCAACGGCCAGUCCGUGCGGGAGCUCGCACCGGCACUCUAG